rnacentral:rRNA from 1 species
GAGAACAGGAAUAUUUCCAGGAAACUGAUUGAUCCAGACAACAUCCUUCAAAACAAUGUGAUACCUGAGCAAGGAACCUCGCAGCUUGCGACACUAGAAUCUAAUGAUAGUCAAUCAGAUAUUAUCAGAGAAGCAAGGAAGGAAGCUAGACGAAAAAGGAAAGAGAUACUCCAGCUGAAAAGGGAUAGCAAACGAAUAAGGACAGAAAAGGACAAUAAUGGCUGUGAAGUAUCAAAUAUAGCAAAGGAUGUCACUCAAGUUUCAAAUUUGGGAAAACCAAAUUGCGUUUGUGAAUUUUGCAAUGCCAUUAUGUGGCAUGGAGGGAGAAGCACAAACACACGUAACAUCACAGUUCCAAAAUUUGGUCUCUGCUGCAAGGAAGGGAAAAUUAAAUUACCACCACUGAAACAAGCUGCGUUGUAUCUCCGACAGCUACUACGUUACAAUGAAAGAGGAGAGUCAUCCAAUUUUCGCCAGAACAUCAGGUUGUACAACUCCAUGUUCGCGUUCACUUCAAUGGGAGGAAAGGUUGACUAUGAAAUUAAUAAGCAGACACCUGGACCAUAUGUUCUCCGUUGGAAUGGCCAAAACUACCAUCAGAUUGGCACUUUACUUCCUAAAGAUGAUGUGACGAAACCAAAAUUUGCCCAAUUGUACAUACAUGACACAGAAAAUGAAGUGCGUAACAGGAUUACUGCAUCAACUUCAAUGGAGAGUAAGACAAAGCUAGAUGAAAACAUUGUGAAAGGUCUACUAGAGAUGCUAGAUAAGCACAAUGUUUUAGUCAAAUCGUUUCGUAUGGCAAGGGACAGGUUCGAAAACUGA